CUUGCCCCAUAUAAGAGGUCUAGCCUGCCCAGUGACAUUGUUCAACGGCCGCGGUAUCCUAACCGUGCGAAGGUAGCGUAAUCAUUUGUUCUUUAAAUGAGGACUAGUAUGAAAGGCAUCACGAGAGUCAUACUGUCUCCUUUCUCUAAUCAGUGAAACUAAUCUCCCCGUGAAGAAGCGAGGAUAAAAAUAUAAGACGAGAAGACCCUAUGGAGCUUUAAACAAAUGAUAUAUGCCCUUUUUACCUUAAAUUUCAGAAAAAUCUCUUAUCAUGGUAUAAUAACUUAUAGUUUUUGGUUGGGGUGACCACGGAAUAAAAAACAACUUCCGCAAUGAAAGAUUCUCUUUCACUAAGUUAAGGACUACAGCCCUAUUCAUCAAUAAAUUGACAUAAUUGACCCAACAUGUUGAUUAAUGAAC
rnacentral:rRNA from 1 species